UACAGCUAUUGCGCGAAAUACACCUAAAGGUAUUUGUUUAUCUGAAAUUCAAAUUUAAUUGUGUUUUGAUUCGCUAAAUUGGACUAAAUUUAGAACAGAAAUCUCUUCGGCACAGUAGGGGAAAAAGUAACGUGAAAAUGUCUCUGACUAGGGCGAGGGUUGGAGGCACAGCAGCCGCUGCGCUGAGAACUCCUCACCCCUCAGCCUCCCACAGCGUGCCAGCCCUUUCCCGUCCUGCCCCGCUGCUGGCGCCGGCCCUUGGUCUGACAGUCACACCCGAGGCCCGCUGCGUGAGGGUCACGCGUCGGGUCCCUCGGCCUAGUCGAGCCACAGAGGUCAUUGUGACAGAUGACCGAGCAACCAGAAAAUGCAGAGUGACUCUGCGACAGACGGGUCACCUCCGUGUGACAAACUCGGCGGCCGUGGCCCCAAAGAGUACAGACCGUGUACCACACUGUCCGUGUGCACCAGGGACAAGCGAAAGCAACCGAUUCUCAACAAGAGAAAAGCAGUGGAAUAACUAUAUCACUAGUGGUAUAAUAUAUAUGUGUCAGUAUGGUACUACAGAGAAAAUGGUCACACAGCAACUGCACCCGCUGAACAUUUCUUGAGAGUGACUUCUCCAGGCUUCCUGCUGCCUAGAAUGAUGAAUUCCAGGGCCCUUUCCAGAAACUUCCAGGUACAGGCAAAUGUACUUCCGGGCUCCCUUUAGCAGUGGCUGGAGGCUGAAGUUUCCCUCACGAAAUUGCCAGGGCCCAGAGGACUGCGACUUCCACACCUGGACGCUGCCCUCUUGGAAGGGGAUGGCCAGAGGUGACCUGAGCCCUGGUGCUGGCAGGAAGGGACUGAGAAAGCUGCUGUUUUCCUCCACCCCUUCCUGUGUUUUCUUCCAAACAAACCUAGCCGAGUGUACCAACACCGAGGGACUUGUUUAAGGCCCUCUCGUCCUGUGUUAUUUGUCUAUUGCUACAGAACAAAUUUCUCCCAAGCUCAGUGGCUCGAGGACGAACACUUACCACGUCACAGUUUCUGUGGGUGAGGGACCCCCGUGCCACUUCUCCUGGUGCCUCUGGCUCAAGGUCGCUGUGACGCCGCAGGUGUCAGCUGUGUUGCGGGAGAGCUCGGCUCCUGGUGACUGCUGUCGGUCUUCACCAGCUGGUGGCCCUGCCCUCCCUCAGCCCCACGCGGCCGGCCACAGGCCACAGGGCAGCAAGCAGCGUGGCAGCCAGCUUCCCCCGUGUGAGCGGCGGGCAGAGCUGGGCAGAAAAGCCCAAGGCAGGAGCCACCGUGCUUUGUGUAACCUAAUCUCAGAAGUGACAUGCCAUUACUUUUGCCGUGUUCUAUUCAUUAGAAGUAGUCCAAAGGUCCAGUCCACAAUCAAAGGAAGGGAUUACAAAGACAUGUGAGUAUCAGCAGAGAUGGUUGGAACCGUCUUCGGGGCUGCCUAACACACGCUCCAAAUUAAAUCUCACCUUUAGGAUGCCCACGGUGAAACACAGCGAAGCUGCGGGGCCUCUAGUCUUUUAAGGAAAAACAUUUUUAUUGUCAGCAAGAAGGAUUAUUCAUCCCCAAAUUAGAGCUGGCCGCCUAUCUGAUAUUUUGAAGUCAUCUUGCAAAGUGGCCGCAGAUCCCAGAGGGAUGGGUCUGAGGUUUUGCCUCCCUCUCUUCCCGCCUCGGAGCGUGCUAAUUUCAUAGUUCGGUUUUUUUUCUCCAUCUGAAGUGAAAGUCGUGCCUUCCAG
ensembl:lincRNA